rnacentral:rRNA from 1 species
ACGGAAGGCAGCAGCUAAGAAUAUUCCGCAAUGGGGGGAACCCUGACGGAGCGACGCCGCGUGAACGAUGAAGGCAGAGAUGUUGUAAAGUUCUUUUGCUUAUGAAGAAUAAGUACUGCAGGGAAUGGCAGUGCGAUGACGUUAGUAAGCGAAUAAGCCACGGCUAACUACGUGCCAGCAGCCGCGGUAACAUGUAGGUGGCAAGCGUUGUUCGGAUUUAUUGGGCGUAAAGGGCGCGUAGGCGGGGACACAAGCUUGAUGUAAAAUGCCCCGGCUCAACUGGGGAGCUGCGUUGAGAACUGUGUCACUAGAGUUCAGGAGGGGGAGUUAGAAUUCCAGGUGUAGGGGUGAAACCUGUAGAUAUCUGGAAGAAUACCGGUGGCGAAGGCGAGCUCCUGGCUAUGAACUGACGCUGAGGCGCGAAAGUGUGGGGAGCAAACAGGAUUAGAUACCCUGGUA